CGAAGCCAACCUUGCCGAACUCGAGUCAGGGCACCCACUUGGAGCGGAUGAGGUAGUCGACCUGCUUAAGGAGGGACUCUACGGAGAGGGGUGGCAAGUAAGAUAGGGUCUCGAACUUCUUGAUGCCCUUGAUCAGCGAAAUCCAACUAGAUGGAUUUAACACAAUUGAUCAAUGCUUAAAUCUUAAAAUAAUUAUACUGUCAAUUUAAGAAAGACCUAGCCAUAAGGAAAAAAUUACUCCUUAUAGGCAUUUCUGCGUUAGUCAACCACUCAACUACCAAUGCAGAUGUAAGUGCAAGCCUAUGCCUUGCACUUAAAAGGAAAAUAGAAUAAUCAUUGGGGUUUGAGAAGUCAAGAACAAAGAAAGUCUUGCAUCAAUGUAGUUGACCAUUAGGCAAUGGAGAAGGCCUUAAUAUCAAUGAUACCACAAGGAGUAGGGAUUGACAUGCAACUAGGAUGCACACAGACCUAUGAAUAAAUGAAAGCUCUCCCAAGGACUAAGGGGAGGGGGUAUGGGGGGUGGGGGGUGCGUCCAACUUGCUUGCUCAUGACACUACAAGAAAUAUGCCAACUUAUGACCACCACUAUUGGUCACUGAAAGGUCACAAAUUUCCAUUUAUGACCUUUUUGUGACCAAAAACAUAAGGUCAAAAGUUGGGCAUCGUAAAUUGACUAUAGCGACCUUUCUUCUAGAAUGGUCGCAAACGUUUAUGACCAAAAUACGUCUACUGUGGCGUUUUGGUCACUAGCAACCUCCCCAGGCCACGUAGGCAUCCAGCGUGGCAAUCUGACAUGGCACAAGAUUCAGCCCGGUCCAAUUCGGUGUUUAUAUGGGCCGAGCCCAUUAAUUCAGCCCAUUUAUAUUUUUUUCCUCUGUGCUUUGAUUGGCUAAAUGGGCCUGGCCCAACAAUUAGGAUUUUUUUUCUGAGAUGCAGUCUUUUACAAUCCAUUUUUUUUGGGCCUCAACCUUUUUAGAAUCUGAAAGUUAUAUUGCUCUUUUUAGAAACAAGUCCAACAUAGUUUUGGCCAUGGCCUUUUUAGAGCCCAAGUAUUGAGUGCAAUAUAAAUUCUGGACAUGGCCUUUUUACAAUCCAAUAGUGGGCCAAGCCCUCUUUUAUUUACAGCCAAUAUUCUCAAAUCAAUAUAGUAAUAGUACUUCUUUCCCACAAUAAUAACACAAGUAUAGAAAACUUUCUCACACAACUUUAUCUCGCAUAACAUUAGACAGACGAACACAUAUCAAUAACUUAUCUCCUAUGUUCACAAAUACAUAACUUUUGGAAUAGCGGCACAAGCUGCGGCAAUACAAGCAUUCAAAAAGCAGAAGCCAGCAAGCAAUAUCCAUCAGGAGGUGCCUUGCAUACUGCCUCCUUCGAGCCUGCGAGAGAAAAAACAAGGUGAAGGUCAGUACGCAUCAAGGAUGCUGCUGUUCUGGGUCAAGCCAAGUCAAGCGCAUAAGAGAACUUAGUCAACAAAAAGUAAUACACUACAAACAAGGGAGCUCUCAAACCAUACAUCCUUGAUGCUAUUAAUACACUACAAAACAAGGGAACUCCACAGCAAAACAAGGGAGCAAUUUAGGGAAAGGAAUACUACAGUUGCUUGAGACAUGUGCUACUCGCUCGAAAGUAAUCAGUAACCAACGCGUCAAUAAAAGUGUGCAAGUAGGCCACUCUACCCAGUGAGAUUAAUACACUACAGAAUCUAUCUAAGACAAGACCACCACCAACAUUAAACUGUACUAUAUUUCUGGACAGCAAACUAAAUAGACGGCUGCUCUCAAACCAUACAUCCAAACGAAGCAAACGAGUACUCUACGGAAACCUUAGAGCAUGCUUUACAACUCAUAUGUAGAGGCCAAGUUGAAAUUAUGAGCAUAACAAACUCGUUUUUCAGUUAGAAGCUCGCUUCCCAAAACUGUCAGGUAGUGCAGUUUUUUAACUGAACCAAAUUUAGUUUACGGAACAGCCAGAGAAAUCCAAUUCUACAGGAGACAUGAUCAUAUUCCUAAUCAUCAUGCAUUUGCCAUGCAGAUCAACCAAUUCUUCUUGAAAAAUGAAAAUUACAGCAGUGAUUCUGAAAUGGCAUUUACCUUCCAUAUCAAAGAUGAAGCGUUCCCUUCUUUUAACUUCUUCAACCUAGAGCUCAUGUAGAAGAAUGAAAAUGACCGUUAUCAUGGCCGCCAAUUCAAAAUGAAAGCAAUACCUUCCAACAGAGAACAGCUAGGAAAAGAAUAAUUAACAGAAUAAUAAAUAGAUACACAAGCAGCUAGGAGUCGAUCCUGAAGCAUGAGGGCAUGGAUAACAGUAGCAACCAUGAGUAGUAAAUAGUAGCAAAUAUUAUAUUGGUGGAAAAAGGUAAAUACCAGCAAGCUCUAAGAAGACUCCAAGAGCUUGAUGGCUCACAAUACAAUCAUGUUUUCAAUAACAAAUACUACUAGAAUUAAGGCACUGAACAUAUUCUAAGAAGUAUCAACAUCAUGGCAGUAAAAAUUAGUAGUAGUAGCUAGCAGGACAUCAAUCAAACACAACGUAAUUAUCAUUUGAACAAUACCGGUCACAACAAGUAAUCAGAAUACAGCAGCGAGUGGGUGCAAACACCAACCAUAACCAGGAAUACUGGAGAACUACAAGUUAAAUGUACUCAAAGAAACCACCAAAAUCUCUCAAUACCGGUCACAACAAGUAAUCAGAAUAUAGCAGCAACAAGUACCAGGAAUAAAUCACGUUAGUAACUAGAACAGAGAAAGAAAAUGUAGAAGUGGCACGAGUCAUGAAUGGUGUCUUGAGUUACUACUGCAUCGUCCGUAACAGAGGCCGAGGAACUCGCUGUGAUGGGUUGCAGCAUCUAUGCUGAUGCAGUCUCAGCCACAGGCUCCUCCUCACACCUGAAGUGAAACACGCAGGUUGGUCAGCAGAACUACAACAGUUUAGCUUUUGGAGAUGACAAAUAACUCAAAUUACCCUUGAUAUCUGUUUCAAAAAAAUUAACCUUCUAGUAUGGCCAUGUUAAUACAUAAAAUUAACCUUUUCCCUUUUACUUUCUAUGAAAAAUGUAAGAGACCAGAAUUCUACAUGUAGCUUCUAUAGACAUAAAUCCUAGAGAAAUACAACUCUGUACGAGAAUCACCCCAAAUAUGAAUAGAACAAUUCGGUAUCGCCUAGACAAGGAAUUGAAAAUGCAUGAGCUGAUGCUAUUGCAUGAUACAGUUAUAUACUCCCAUAAAAGAAGUGUUGUUUAAGUACACUCUCUUCUCUUUAUUCCAUCUAUUAAGUAUAUACUCCCAUAAUAGAUAAAAGAAGUAUAUACUCCCAUAAAAGACUUCCAGCUGCCUUUCAGUGCCUACGUACAGUGCUUUGCAGUCAGGUUUAGGACUAGCACAGUGAAAACAAAACUAUCUACUUGUUGUACUUGUUAUGUUAAACCAUCGAAAUCAAUCUGGUGUGACACAGGUGGGUUAUGCUAUCCACGACACGAGCACUGCAUUUGUUAAUAUCGACUGCAGUAACGAGGGACUGUUCAAUGCUACAAUUCAACCAUGGAGUAAACUCAAAUGAGCAUGGAAGAAGAGCUCACCUCGUUGAAGGCGAGGAUCUGGCCGUAGCUCUUCUUCACGCAUUCUUGAGAGGCUUCCGAAUUUGAAUCAUGUCCUCACCAGAACUUGGACUUGGCGUGGAUCUCGCUGGUGGCCCAGAGCUUCAUGCGGUAGAUCCUGGGAUGCUCCUCGGUCGGCGUCGGCAGGCCCCUCCCGACAACCUCGUAUUGGUGGAACUGCACGAGUGCGAGCGCCAAAUGGUAAGUUCAGAUCACACGACAAGAACUAAUCCCCAUGAUAAUGGUGCGUACGAGUAAGAGGGACUCACCCUGACCGUGACCAUCCUGGCCGGAGUUGCUGAGGUCGCCGUGCGUCGGUCUGGGGCGAUGGGAUUGCUGUUGUGCGAUGCUGCGACGGGCUUCUGUUCGCGGGAGCCGCGCCAGCCUAGGGCCCCGCCGGUGAGCUCCGACGAGGGGAGGGGGGAGGGAGGCGACCCCCAUCACCAUGGCUGCCAAAGCCCUCCCUCCGGAUCGAGGUUGUAUCCGCCAGAUCGGUGUGGCCAAGGCUACCAAUCCGCCUCGCCUGCUCGAACUGGGCCUCGAGGAGAGGAGGUGGUGGCCAUCGACGGUGGGGAUGGGGGGCGACGGCGGCGGCGGCGUCCAUCUCCGCCUGGAUCACGCGCAUGGGGGUAUGGGGAGGGGAGGGGAAUUGGCUCGCGAGAUUUGUUCGUGAGGGGGCGACUCGGACAGGAGGGGUGGUGGAAGGAAGGAUGGCCGGUGCUGGGGGUGAUGAGGAGGUCGGCGGCGACGGGGGUGGGGGAGGCCGGCGGCGGGGUUGGGAUGGCAGAGAGAGGGAGGUCUGGGUCGGGGACAGGGGGAUCUGGGAGGAGGUGGCGGCGGUGAGGAGCUGAGGGAGGAGGAGUGUGGGUGCGGGUUAGGGUUUGGGCUGCGGAUGGAUGGCUGGAUGGAGAGGUGGAGAGUUGGACGGAUGGAUGGGCGCCAUGUCAUCGAUCUGUGUGACAACUAAACCCACCAAUGAGAAUAGAGCACAUAUAAUUGUGUUUUUCCUUUUGUUUUUCUUCUACUUUUACACAUGAAAAAAAAAAUCAAAAAAUGGUCUCACAUUAUGCACAAGUUUGUAUCUUGAAUGAAAAACAAUGUUGCCUAAGAAAUUUUUCAUUUUCGUUGCAUGAAAUAUUCAUUUUCCAUUUCUCGAGUGCUCAAAAUGAGUUUUUUUGUAAAGAACAUACCAAAUAUUUGUUGCAAAAUUGUAUCAAAUCAUUUUUCUAAAUACUAGACCAUAUUUAAUGUACAUAUAACCAAAUGGUUGGGUGUCAAAACUUUUAAUCUACCUCUCGUGAAAAAGACAAAUUUCCGCCGAUUCAGUUGGAAGCGGGUCAAAUUUGAACUACAUUUGCCUCAUAGUUUGCUAUUUAUUUUUUCCAAAAGUCAUUUCUAGGUACAUAAGUAUCUAUUUAAUCAGAGAAACAUCAAAAGUUUUCCAAGAUUCAACCACUAGCUAGGAACGGUCAAGCCCGCCGUUUUGACCGCAUUUUGAAACGGGCAUAAAAAAUUCAAAAAAAAUCAAAAAAUUGGAAAACCUUUGCAUUGUGUCAUCAUAUGUGGCCAAGUUCCUAGGAAAAAUAACAAACUUGUAAUACAACAAUUAUUUUAAAAAAGUGUUCUCAGAAACGAGCUAUCAUGUGUGGAGAUCAAUGGCUUUCAAGCCAAAUGAUCAAUCUUAUGGCCACAUCCAUGGCAUAGUUUGUUCAAAUGAUCUCAUAUUGUGCACAAGGGUGCAUAUUGGAAUGGCAAACGAUGUUGCCUAAGGAAGUUUUCAUUUUGGUUGGACGAAAAAACCAUUUUCCAUUUUUUGAAUGCCCGAAAGGAGGUUUUUUGUGAAGGAACUACCAAAUAAUUGUUGCAAAAUUGGACCAAAUCAUUUUUAUAAAAUACUAGGCCAUAUUUAAUGCACAAUUGACAAAAUGGUCUGGUGUAAAUUUUUUUGAUCCACCUCUCGUGAAAAAGACAAAUUUCCGCCGAUUCAGUUGGAAGCGGGUCAAAUUUGAACUGCAGCUGCCUCAUAGUUUGCUAUUUAUUUUUUCCAAAAAUCAUUUCUAGUUACAUAAGUAUCUAUUAAAUCAUAGAAACACCAAAAAAAUUCCAAGAUUCAACCACUAGCUAGGAACGGUCAAGCGCGCCGUUUUGACCGCAUUUUCAAACGGGCAUAAAAAAUUCAAAAAAUUCAAAAAAUUGGGAAACCUUCGCAUUGUGUCAUCAUAUGUGGCCAAGUUUCCAGGAAAAAUAAUAAACUUGUAAUACGGUAAUUAUUUUAAAAAAGUGUUCUCAGAAAUGAGCUAUCAAGUGUGAAGAUUCAUGGCUUUCAAGCCAAAUGAUCAAUCUUAUGGCCACAUUCAUGGCAUAGUUUGUUCAAAUGAUCUCAUAUUGUGCACAAGGGUGCAUAUUGGAAUAGCAAACAAUGUUGCCUAAGGAAGUUUUCAUUUUCGUUGGACGAAAAAACCAUUUUCCAUUUUUCGAGUGCCCGAAAGGAGGUUUUUUUGUGAAGGAACUACCAAAUAAUUGUUGCAAAAUUGGACCAAAUCAUUUUUAUAAAAUACUAGGAAAUAUUUAAUGCACAAUUGACAAAAUGGUCUAGUGUAAAAAUUUUUGAUCCACCUCUCGUGAAAAAGACAAAUUUCUGCCGAUUUAGCUGGAAGCGGGUCAAAUUUGAACUGCAGCUGCCUCAUAGUUUGCUAUUUAUUUUUUCCAAAAAUCAUUUCUAGUUACAUAAGGACCUAUUUAAUCAUAAAUACAUGGUUUGGUGGCGAUACGUCGAGGUUUGGGCGGUGGCCGAGGGCCCCAACUCUAGAGCGCGUAAACUCGGAUGCCCGCCGCGUGGUCACCGCGUGACCGUGGCGUUGCCAUGUGUUCUGGGCGGCCUAGGCAUGUCUAGUGGGUUGGGCACUCCCCAGGUUGGUGCUAGGAAGAAAAUUACAACAUAAGAUUCUCACGAGGAGACCAAUCGAUGCUCAAACAUGAAUUAGCAGCCAAGUGUUUGAUUAGCGGUACGGGAAAUGUACAUGGCUAAUGGGCAUGAGUUUUGGCUGAGGAUGAUCAGUUACUAAGAAGAUCGUUUUCACAAAUUUUCAGCUCAAAAGGAGGAGCCUAGGUGGUACUUGCUGUGCAAACUACCACGCUGGACAUAACUACGAAUGUUGAAGCUCGGCUCAAAAUAAUGAAUGGAUUGAGCUGGCAUUUGGUGGAGGAUGGUUAUUUGGGCAUAGGAAAGCACUGUAGAAAAUGGAUGCUAUUUGGACAUGCCAAAGUGGUACUUCCUUCACAAACUGUUACUCUGAACAGAAUAGGAAAAUGAAUAUUUUUGAAUUAUUUUUGAACUAGGCAAGGAAGAUUUUUACAUAUUUGAUGAAGAUAUGACCCAAAGAAUUUAUGAGAUUUUUUUGGGAAUUUUGGGAAUGAUAGAAAUAUAGGUUGCUUCACAACCUAGGGCAAAAACUGCCACAUGGACAUGACACAUAGGCAAAACUGAUGAGAUGGCGCCUAGUCAUCACAACCCACCACAAUCUACAAGGUUAUGACCAUCUAUAUUGGUCAUUAACAACUAGAAAUAAGGCAGCGGACUAGCACUGUUUGCUUUGUGACCAUUUUGUGUAAGGAAAUUACGACCUUUCUGACCAAAAUGGUCGCAAUGGUUUAGGGUUUGAAGCCCCUUGAACAACUUUUGACCAAUUGGUCUAAAAUGGUCAUAAAUUUAUGACCAAUUCUUCGAGGGUCACUGACAGAAGGUCAUAAGUUGACAUAUUUCUUGUAGUGUGAAGACCUCGAGCAUUUGAGGAAUCUCGUCAUCAAGACAUAGAGGGAAAGUUCUAUAAUAUCAAUUCUCCACCUAGUAUAAAACAUAAAGCUCAUGAAACUUUAAUUAGAUGCUAAUUACCUAGACCAACAAAAGUUCUUUAGUAAGGGUCUCUGACAAGAAUAUGCUUCAUCCUAUUUUACUAGCAGAAACCGAUAGAGAUGAUAGUAGUGACAUGGAAAACAAACCAUUAUUUGUAUUUAUAAGUAAAGAAACUGAAAUUUGUAACUGCCAAUCAGGCGAUAUUAAUGUCAAAUACUGAAUUCUUACACCCACUACCUGCGAGACAUGUCCAUUGCAGUGCCAAAUAAAGAAUCUUUUUUGAGAAUUAACAGCAAGACAAUGGUCCGCUUGUUGUAUAUAAUAAUUAUCACACAAGUGUUGUAUAUGUAGCUGGUGCUAGAAUUUACAUAUCCAUGCUCCACAACCUAUGUUGUACAUACACAGAUCAUAUAGAACAAAAGUUAUGCUUAGGUCGGAAAGCAGAGCCGUGUAGAAAAGUGAAGUUCACAAAAGACCUUCAUACAUAGGCCAUUGUUUUAACUCGUAGUAAGGCCUUGACGGACUCACAACCAGGUAGCCCGAAGGUGAUGAAGCUGACGCACUGCACCUAGCGCAGGUUGUCGAAGCCAAUGAUUCAGACAUAGGCGUCAGGGUACUCCUCCUUGACCUCCUCCACCUCCUUGAGCACCUUCUUGGCAUUGGUGCACCUGAAGAUAGGUUUUUUUGAUAAAGGGUCAUUUUAUUAACUAAAAAAUGUAGCAUCAAGUGGAUAUAAAGCAUUAUGAGCAACACCCAACCUCUGCAUAACUAGGAUGCACACAGCCGAAACACCAAAAGUCUGACAACCAUAAGAAAACAAAAACCGACAAAUCGAUAAUAGUAGAGUCCUAUAGACCGACACGGUGCCUAUGUCGAAAGGUGAGAUGGCCUGAUCCGGAGGUUAUGCUGCCACCCAUGUUGGGUAAAAACCCCCGUAGCCACCUGCUCCAACCACGUACACACCGCCUUGAAUAGCGGUUGGACCUCCGCUCGUUGUCCGCACCUGAAGAUAGGUAGCUUCCACAUUUUCUAGUAUCCUCGGUCAUAGUAUCUAGGGGACAUGUUGUGCUUAAGGAAGAAGAAGCCAACCUUGCUGAACUCGAGGCAGGGCAUGCACUUGGAGGGGAUUAGGUAGUCGACCUGCUUGAGGAGGGCCUCCAUGGAGAGGGGUGGCAAGUGACAGGAUCUCGAACUUCUUGAUGCCAUCGAUGGGCCAAACCUGAUUAGAUGGAAUGAACACAAUUUAGAUCCUAUUGCUUUAUCACUUGAAUGCUCGGAACAUGCUUCUUAGAAGGCACUGUCAUUCUCCUUGAGAUGAAACCCAUUGUGCUCACAUGAGAAAAGAGAUCACUUAUUUUUCUCCUAUAAUUUGAGUCAAAGGAUUUGGACUUAUUUGUAGAUUGAUUGGAGCCCUUGACGAAACACUAGACAAUGUAUUGAUGCUGCAUGUAAACGAUUUGGACACACUUUGUUUCUUUGAAGUGGUGUUCUCUUGGAACUAAUAUUUAUAUUAUUAGAAAUGACAAGAUCUUCGUAGUGGAGAGGCCAACCUUUCCCGCUUGGUUUUGUUAAUUUGUACAUGACAUCUCUUCUUACACAUAUAGUUAAGGCUUGUAUCGAACCAAAGCUCCUCGUUUGGAUUAGUAACCUCCAUUAGAUAAAUAGGUAAGUAGGUAAAUGUUGUUUUUCCUAUUUCCUUGGUUUCUUUUGUAAAUAUUUUUGCUUCCUUUUGUUUUCAUGGAGUAAAUGAAUGUAGAGCUGUUGCUCCAUAGUAGUGACACAAAUCCGAGAUUUUUCUUGAUUUUCACUAGUAUGAUUACAAUCCUUCACAAAUAGCUCACGCAAAAGUUCCAUAAUAAGUUUUGAAUGCUGUGGCUAUAUCGAGUUCAGUUAGAUGCUUAUUAUACUGACCAACAAAAAUUCUUUGGUAAGGGUCUGUGAGAAGAAUAUGUUUCAUUCUAUUCUACUAGCAAAAACCAAUGACGAUGAUGGUAGUUACAUGGAAAAGAAACCACAAUUUUUUUGUAUUUUUUUAACUCAAUUUUUUGAAUUGAUAUAAGUAAAGGAACUGAAAUUUUUGUUGGCGCCGCUCCUCUCGCAGCGCCGACCUUCUUCUUCUACCUUGAGCUGCCUCUCACAAUUCAAGGUUUCUCCCUUUGUCUCUCUCAAGAACACAUGAGAACACACACGCACGCACACAUGCACCAAGGGAGAAACCAGCCGCUAGCUUUGCCAAGAGGCUCUCUCCUUGGUGAAAACAAACACUACAUUGUUUCUGCCCCAGCCCUCACGGCCUCAAUCCUUUUCAUUACCCUGUUGCCAUAUUUAUAUACAAAGGACCAGACUCAUGCCAUGCACACAGGCCACUAAGUCCGGCCACUAACCAACUAAUCCCUAACUACAUGUCUACAUGCACGCCCACGUCCAGUACAUGCGCAACGUCCUCUCAACAGCUACACGAUCUGGACAUGCAGCUAACAAACUUGACCACAUCUAAUACUAGACCUCUUCUCAAGGCCACAACAGACUUACUGAUCGACUCGGCUGGACUCUUGCUGGCCGCUGGCUCUUAUCCUUGUGCAGCUGCUUCACACGGCACUCGGCAUCUCGCACCUCCGCCGCCUCGCACGACAAUAGCAUCUCACCAUGCACGUUCUUGGGCCGACGGCUCGCUGUCUACGUACGUAUCACACGUACAUCUUGCCGGUGUACAGCCGACGAUAUGACUACACUAGCUACAAGCAAAACAAAAAAACACAUGCAGAUACAUAUGCCAAGAUUAGUUCUAACAAUUUUUAAUUGCCAAUAAGGAAAUCUUAAUGUCAAAUACUGAAUUCUUCCACCAACUAGGUGUGAGACAUAUCCAUCGCAGUGCCAAAUAAAGAAAGUUUUCCGAGAAUUAACAGCAGGACAAUGGUCCGCUUGUUGUAUAUAAUAAAUAUCACACUGGUGUUGUAUAUGUGUAGCCGUGCAUGCUCCACAACCUAUGUUCGUACAAACACAGAUCAUAUGGAACGAGAAAUAUGCUCUGGUCGGAAAGCAGAGUCGUGGACAAAAGUGAAGUUCACAAAUGACCAUCAUACAUAGGCCAUUGUUUCAACUUGUAGUUUAGGCCUUGCCGGACUCCUCGCAACCUGGUGGCCUGAAGGCGAUGAAGCUGACGCACUGCACCUGGCGCAGGUUGUCGAAGCCGAUGACACGGACAUAGGCAUCAGGGUACUCCUUCUUGACCUCCUCCACCUCGUUGAGCACUUGCGUGGCGUCGGUGCACCCGAACAUAGGCAGCUUCCACAUUGUCCAGUAUCGACCGUCGUAGUACCCGGGAGAGCUGUUGUGCUCACGGAAGACGAAGCCAACCUUGCUAAACUCGAGGCAGGGCACCCACUUGGAGCGGAUCAGGUAGUCUACCUGCUUUAGGAGGGCCUCUGUGGAGAGGGGUGGCAAGUAAGACAGGGUCUCGAACUUCUUGAUACCCUCAAUCGGCCACACCUGAAUGGAUGGAAAUUAUGGAAUGCACACAACUGCUUAACACUUGGUGCUAGUAAAUUGUACGUACUGAGGAAGAAACUCAUAUCAGUUUUGUGCCUCUGACAUACCUGCAUGCACCUGAUCCUUCCGCCAUUGCUGACGCGGCCGAGGCUGCCGCUGGAGCGGCGGCUGACGGGCAGACCGGCUGUGGACUUGAGCCCCUGGAAGGGUGCGACGGUGGUAGCCGACGAAGCCAUCACGGCGGGGGCCAUGGUAUUGUAUUAUCGGAGGAGAGGAGGAUGCCGGCUACAGGUGAG
rnacentral:lncRNA from 1 species